UCCAGACUCCUACGGGAGGCAGCAGUGGGGGAUAUUGCACAAUGGGGGAAACCCUGAUGCAGCGACGCCGCGUGAGUGAAGAAGUAUUUCGGUAUGUAAAGCUCUAUCAGCAGGGAAGAAAAAAGACGGUACCUGACUAAGAAGCCCCGGCUAACUACGUGCCAGCAGCCGCGGUAAUACGUAGGGGGCAAGCGUUAUCCGGAUUUACUGGGUGUAAAGGGAGCGUAGACGGCAAUACAAGUCGGAAGUGAAAUACCCGGGCUCAACCUGGGAACUGCUUUGGAAACUGUAUGGCUGGAGUGCUGGAGAGGUAAGCGGAAUUCCUAGUGUAGCGGUGAAAUGCGUAGAUAUUAGGAGGAACACCAGUGGCGAAGGCGGCUUACUGGACAGUAACUGACGUUGAGGCUCGAAAGCGUGGGGAGCAAACAGGAUUAGAUACCCGGGUAAGG
rnacentral:rRNA from 1 species